UCUUACAUUCAUCAUCUGAAACUGAAGUCACAUAACUUUCAAGACAUAUUGUAACAAAUACUUACAUUUUUAGCUCAUCUGAUUUUUUGAAAAAAAAUGAUGAGUUAUUGUCAUCACUUGAGCUGUUGUCGGCGUCGGCUGGUUAAGUUUUAUGUUUAGGUAAGCUUUUCUCCUAAACUAUCAAAGCUAUUGCUUUGAAACUUGGAAUACUUGUUCACCAUCAUAAGCUGACCCUGUAUAGCAAGAAACAUAACUCCAUCUUGCUUUUUGCAAGAUUUAUGGCCCCUUUUGUACUUAGAAAAUAUCAGAUUUCUUGGUUAAGUUUUAUGUUUAGGUCAACUUUUCUCCUAAACUAUCAAAGCUAUUGCUUUGAAACUUGGAAUACUUGUUCACCAUCAUAAGCUGACCCUGUACAUCAAGAAACAUAACUCCAUCUUGCUUUUUGCAAGAAUUAUUGCCCCUUUUGGACUUAGAAAAUCAGUUUUCUUGGUUAAGUUUUAUGUUUAGGUCAGCUUUUUUUCUUAAACUAUCAAAGCUAUUGCUUUAAAACUUGCAACACUUGUUCACCAUCAUAAGCUGACCCUGUACAACAAGAAACAUAAUUCCAUCCUGCUUUUUGCAAGAUUUAUGGCCCCUUUUGGACUUAGAAAAUAUCAGAUUUCUUGGUUAAGUUUUAUGUUUAGGUCAACUUUUUUUCUUAAACUAUCAAAGCUAUUGCUUUAAAACUUGCAACACUUGUUCACCAUCAUAAGCUGACCCUGUACAGCAAGCAACAUAACUCCAUCCUGCUUUUUGCAAUAAUUAUUGCCCUUUUUGGACUUAGAAAAAUCAUUUUCUUGGUUGAAUAUUAUGUUUAGGUCAACUUUUUCUCUUAAACUAUCAAAGCUAUUGCUUUGAAACUUGCAACACUUGUUCACCAUCAUAAGCUGACCCUGUACAGCAAGCAACAUAACUCCAUCCUGCUUUUUGCAAUAAUUAUUGCCCCUUUUGGACUUAGAAAAUCAUUUUCUUGGUUGAGUAUUAUGUUUAAGUCAACUUUUCUCAUAAACUAUCAAAGCUAUUGCUUUAAAACUGCAACAGUUUUUCACCAUCAUAAGUGGACACUGUACAUCAAGAAACAUAACUCUAUCCUGCUUUUUGCAAAAAUGAUGGCCCUUUUUAGACUUAGAAAAUCAUGGGUAGGACAAUAUUUCUAUUACACAAAAAAAAUCAGAUGAGCGUCAGCACCCGCAAGGCGGUGCUCUUGUUAAUUAUGUGAGCAGACUUUGAUAUUUAUGAAAUACUCAGUACAGAAACUUGAAAACAUUGAAUAGGACUAGAUUUACUGGGUUAAUUAUUCAUGCCUCAAGUCUAACCCCACAUCGAGAUGUACAACGUUGAAGCCACCUGCCUUCAUUCCAGACCUGUAUAAAAUUUUGCAAAAUUUAUAAAGUUCUUUCAUUUGUUUGUUACUGUAAGAGCUGUGAGGACUAGCUAGUAUUAUUUAUAAGAACAACAUUUCGUCUUUAUAGAAAAAAUGUAUGUGCUAGGUUAAUUCAUAGUAAAUACAAAAUGUA